rnacentral:rRNA from 1 species
UACGGAGGGGGCUAGCGUUGUUCGGAAUUACUGGGCGUAAAGCGCACGUAGGCGGCUUUGUAAGUUAGAGGUGAAAGCCCAGGGCUUAACCCUGGAAUUGCCUUUAAGACUGCAUCGCUAGAAUCGUGGAGAGGUAAGUGGAAUUCCGAGUGUAGAGGUGAAAUUCGUAGAUAUUCGGAAGAACACCAGGGGCGAGGGCGACUUACUGGACACGAAUUGAGGUUGAGGUGCGAAAGCGUGGGAGCAAACAGG